UACGUAGGGUGCUAGCGUUGUUCGGAAUUAUUGGGCGUAAAGCGCGUGUAGGUGGUUAAUUAAGUCGGGUGUGAAAUCCCUGGGCUCAACCGAGGAAGUGCAUCCGAAACUAAUUAGCUAGAGAGUGGCAGAGGAAGGUGGAAUUCCUAGUGUAGAGGUGAAAUUCGUAGAUAUUAGGAGGAAUACCGGUGGCGAAGGCGGCCUUCUGGACCAUUUCUGACACUGAGACGCGAAAGCGUGGGGAGCAAACAGG
rnacentral:rRNA from 1 species